AGGUUGGGUGUGGCUUCCUACGAUUUUGAGCA
rnacentral:scRNA from 1 species